UUCCCAGACUCCUACGGGAGGCAGCAGUGGGGAAUAUUGCACAAUGGGGGAAACCCUGAUGCAGCGACGCCGCGUGAGUGAAGAAGUAAUUCGUUAUGUAAAGCUCUAUCAGCAGGGAAGAAAAUGACGGUACCUGAGUAAGAAGCCCCGGCUAACUACGUGCCAGCAGCCGCGGUAAUACGUAGGGGGCAAGCGUUAUCCGGAUUUACUGGGUGUAAAGGGGGCGCAGACGGCGAUGCAAGCCAGGAGUGAAAGCCCGGGGCCCAACCCCGGGACUGCUCUUGGAACUGCGUGGCUAGAGUGCAGGAGGGGCAGGCGGAAUUCCUGGUGUAGCGGUGAAAUGCGUAGAUAUCAGGAGGAACACCGGUGGCGAAGGCGGCCUGCUGGACUGCAACUGACGUUGAGGCCCGAAAGCGUGGGGAGCAAACAGGAUUAGAUACCCUUGUAC
rnacentral:rRNA from 1 species